rnacentral:rRNA from 1 species
GCAGUCGCCACGGUAAUACGCAGGGUGCGGGCGUUGUCCGGAAUUAUUGGGCGUAAAGAGCUUGUAGGUGGUUUGUCGCGUCUGCUGUGAAAAUCCGAGGCUCAACCUCGGACUUGCAGUGGGUACGGGCAGACUAGAGUGUGGUAGGGGAGACUGGAAUUCCUGGUGUAGCGGUGGAAUGCGCAGAUAUCAGGAGGAACACCGAUGGCGAAGGCAGGUCUCUGGGCCAUUACUGACACUGAGAAGCGAAAGCAUGGGGAGCAAACAGGAUUAGAUACCCGCGUAGUCCCUGUCUCUUAUAC